AGAGUAUAGCUCAGUGGGAGAGUGCGUGCUUAGCAUGCAUGAGGUCCUGGGUUCAAUCCCCAGUACCUCUA
rnacentral:tRNA from 1 species